CCUUGUUUACGUUUCUUCUGUUUCGUGUGUUCCAUGUGUGUGCGGAAGAAAAGGUUCGCUCAUUGUACGCGUUCCUACCACUACACUGACAAACGCGUGUUUGACAGUACUGAGCAAAACAAAACCCGCGUACGAUCGCAGCAACACAUGAAUACGGAAAGUGAAUAUUCAUCUGGUGUUCGCACAACAAGGUGAAAAGGUAUAGUUUGGAAGCAUUUUUGUGUGUGUUAAAUAGAGGUGGAAUAUUAGAAGAGAGUUUUGAUGUGUCCAGUGGUGGAAAUAGAAAGAGUUUCGACAGUCUUUGGAGUUGGCGGUCCCAUGACUCGAGAGCCCAUGCGAGAGGCUACGGCCUAUAGAUAAAGGUAAAAUCGAAAGUGACCGCACGGCUCGGAAGUAGCAUGAGUUCGGAGCUGCCGGGGCCGGUGAACGGGCCGGCGUAUUAUCGGCUUGAAUCAACGUGUGUGAAAGACGCAACGAAGAAAGAUGGCUGAACAGCAGAUUAAUGCUCCUGUUUCACACGCCAAGAAUAUACCGGGUUUUUGUUCAACCUAACAAUACUGCUCCUCCCAAAAG